rnacentral:rRNA from 1 species
UGAGUCCUACGGGGGGCAGCAGUGGGGAAUAUUGCACAAUGGGGGAAACCCUGAUGCAGCAACGCCGCGUGAGUGAAGAAGUCAUUCGUGAUGUAAAGCUCUAUCAGCAGGGAAGAAAAUGACGGUACCUGAGUAAGAAGCCCCGGCUAACUACGUGCCAGCAGCCGCGGUAAUACGUAGGUGGCAAGCGUUAUCCGGAAUUAUUGGGCGUAAAGAGCGCGCAGGUGGUUAAUUAAGUCUGAUGUGAAAGCCCACGGCUUAACCGUGGAGGGUCAUUGGAAACUGGUUGACUUGAGUGCAGAAGG